UACGUAGGGUGCAAGCGUUGUCCGGAAUUAUUGGGCGUAAAGAGCUUGUCGGCGGUUUGUCGCGUCUGCUGUGAAAUUUCGGGGCUCAACCCCGAACUUGCAGUGGGUACGGGCAGACUAGAGUGUGGUAGGGGAGACUGGAAUUCCUGGUGUAGCGGUGAAAUGCGCAGAUAUCAGGAGGAACACCGAUGGCGAAGGCAGGUCUCUGGGCCAUAACUGACGCUGAGAAGCGAAAGCAUGGGGAGCGAACAGG
rnacentral:rRNA from 1 species